UAUCUGGUUGAUUCUGCCAGUAGUCAUAUGCUUGUCUCAAAGAUUAAGCCAUGCAUGUCUAAGUAUAAGCAAUUUAUACGGUGAAACUGCGAAUGGCUCAUUAAAUCAGUUAUCGUUUAUUUGAUAGUACCUUACUACAUGGAUACCUGUGGUAAUUCUAGAGCUAAUACAUGCUAAAAACCUCGACUUCGGAAGGGGUGUAUUUAUUAGAUAAAAAACCAAUGCCCUUCGGGGCUCCUUGGUGAAUCAUAAUAACUUAACGAAUCGCAUGGCCUUGCGCCGGCGAUGGUUCAUUCAAAUUUCUGCCCUAUCAACUUUCGAUGGUAGGAUAGUGGCCUACCAUGGUGGCAACGGGUAACGGGGAAUUAGGGUUCGAUUCCGGAGAGGGAGCCUGAGAAACGGCUACCACAUCCAAGGAAGGCAGCAGGCGCGCAAAUUACCCAAUCCCGACACGGGGAGGUAGUGACAAUAAAUACUGAUACGGGGCUCUUUUGGGUCUCGUAAUUGGAAUGAGUACAAUCUAAAUCCCUUAACGAGGAACAAUUGGAGGGCAAGUCUGGUGCCAGCAGCCGCGGUAAUUCCAGCUCCAAUAGCGUAUAUUAAAGUUGUUGCAGUUAAAAAGCUCGUAGUUGAACCUUGGGUCUGGCUGGCCGGUCCGCCUCACCGCGAGUACUGGUCCGGCUGGACCUUUCCUUCUGGGGAACCUCAUGGCCUUCACUGGCUGUGGGGG